CCCUUAGAUGUUCUGGGCCGCACGCGUGCUACACUGAGUGGAUCAGCGGGUCAGGUUGCGCGAAAGUGUUUCCUAAUCUUGAAAUCCGCUCGUGAUGGGGAUUGACGGUUGCAAUUUUCCGUCAUGAACGAGGAAUACCUUGUAAGCGCGGGUCAUCAUCCCGCGCUGAAUACGUCCCUGCCCUUUGUACACACCGCCCGUCGCUCCUACCGAUUGAGUGGUCCGGUGAGGCUUUGGGAUCUGAGCGGAAAGAGCGUUUCGCUCGUUUUGCCCGGAAAACUCAGUCGAACCUUAUCAUUUAGAGGAAGGAGAAGUCGUAACA
rnacentral:rRNA from 1 species